UUGUAUAUAGCUCAGUUGGCAGAGCGGUGGACUGUAGAUCCAUAGGUCGCUGGUUCGACUCCGGCUCGACGAA
rnacentral:tRNA from 1 species